GUGCCAGCAGCCGCGGUAAUACGGAGGAUCCAAGCGUUAUCCGGAAUCAUUGGGUUUAAAGGGUCCGUAGGCGGUCUUAUAAGUCAGUGGUGAAAUCUCCCCGCUCAACGGGGAAACGGCCAUUGAUACUGUAGGACUUGAAUUAUUAGGAAGUAACUAGAAUAUGUAGUGUAGCGGUGAAAUGCUUAGAGAUUACAUGGAAUACCAAUUGCGAAGGCAGGUUACUACUAAUGGAUUGACGCUGAUGGACGAAAGCGUGGGUAGCGAACAGGAUUAGAAACCCGAGUAGUCC
rnacentral:rRNA from 1 species